GGGCUGCAGUAUUUUGACUGUACAAAGGUAGCAUAAUCAAUAGUCUCUUAAUUGGUGACUUGUAUGAAAGAUUGGAUGAGAUAUAAACUGUCUCUGAUUAAUUUAUAAAAAUUAAUUUUUUAGUAAAAAAGCUAAAAUAAUUUUAAAAGACGAGAAGACCCUAUAGAGUUUAAUAUUUUAUUUAAUAAUUAUUAAUGUAUAUAAUUUUAAAAAUUAAAAUUAAGUAAAUUAUUUUGUUGGGGUGAUAAAAAAAUUAAAUUAACUUUUUUUAAUUAUUAACAUUAAUUUAUGAUUGAAUGAUCCAUUUAUAGUGAUUAAAAGAAAAAAUUACCUUAGGGAUAACAGCGUAAUUUUUUUUUUUAGUUCAAAUAGGAAAAAAAGUUUGCGACCUCGAUGUUGGAUUAA
rnacentral:rRNA from 1 species